CGCCCUUGAGUUUGAUCAUGGCUCAGGACGAACGCUGGCGGCGUGCCUAACACAUGCAAGUCGAACGAAGUAUAUUUUCGGAUAUGCUUAGUGGCGGACGGGUGAGUAACGCGUGAACAAUCUGCCCUAUACACAGGAAUAGCCUCGGGAAACUGGGAUUAAAACCGGAUAACACUUUUGAGCCGCAUGGCAUGGAAGUCAAAUUGAUUUAGAGGUAUAGGAUGAGUUCGCGUCUGAUUAGCUAGUUGGUGAGGUAACGGCUCACCAAGGCGACGAUCAGUAGCCGGCCUGAGAGGGUGAACGGCCACACUGGAACUGAGACACGGUCCAGACUCCUACGGGAGGCAGCAGUGGGGAAUAUUGCACAAUGGAGGAAACUCUGAUGCAGCGACGCCGUUUUUUUUUAGAAGGUCUUCGGAUCGUAAAACUCUGUCCUUGGUGACGAAAAAAUGACGGUAGCCAAGGAGGAAGCCCCGGCUAACUACGUGCCAGCAGCCGCGG
rnacentral:rRNA from 1 species